ACAGAUGUCUUCAGUGAGUCCACUUCCAUGACUGGGCCUGUGAAGAGAAGAUGGGAGGCAUUUAUCAGUCUCCCUGUAGAAGCAGGAUAAUUGAUUUGAACUUGUUAUGACACAGCAACUUGUGAUGACUCUUGGGCUGCCCUCUGCAGGAACAGAGCAGGAGGAGGGAGGCAAGGCACCUUCCCAGAAAAGUAACAGCACAAAGUUUGUGGUUCCAAUGAAAUGAUGUCUGAGAAGUGCUGGAAAAGAAGCACAAGAGGAAAGACUGUCUCUGCGUGAACAUACUCAACUUACCAUUCUAACGUCAGCGCUACAGAAGCCUGCCCUUCACAUAAGCAGUCACCAGCAAGAGGAGGACCAGUGGAUUCAGCACACGGGCAUUAACAGCACUGCAUUCCCUACCAGACAAAGUUACAGAAAACGCAUUCAAAGCCUGAAGAAUGAAAAAGAGAAAGAUGUAUUCCUCAUAUCGUGGCCGGAUUCACUGCACAGAAACUCCGAGGGAAACCACCUAUUUCUACCCGCCUUACCCUCUGGAAAGCUCUGUCUGCAGCCUGGAAACCGAAAACCUGUGUCCACAUGGUGGUCCAGAAAUCUUCCCAAAACACACACAGUAACUGACCCGGCCAGUGACCUGAAGAAUCAGCGUCCACAUCAUCAAAGAUGCAUUUUACUGCUUUGGAGCCUUCCACCUACAUGUUCAUCUAUCACCUCUGGCAAGCACACAGUAUUUAAAAAUCGAGAACUUCUUUUGUGGAAUAUGUAAUUAAGGCUUUGCUGGAAGCUUGUUUGCCGAAAGCCUGAGAAGGGCUUGCAAGCUCAAAAAUGUAUUGAGUGUAUGAAAUUGCAAUGCUCCAGAUACUAUAUAUCUUACUUCCUUCCCAACUUGCUUUCACAAAGGUUUUAUUUGUGGCACCAGAAUUCUUAUUUCUAGUAAGUCAGUUAAAAUAAAUGGUGGAAUCCUUCCAGAUACUGUAGUUCUUAAGUAAGAUAUGUCUUGCUAGUUAUCUAAGGGAUCUGUGAUCCUUAGUGGUCCUGCGGUAUUCAUUUGUCACUGCCAGCAUCACAGCAACCUGUCUGGUCUCAUUUUGGGAUUUAUCUUUUACUGUGAGCAGACUCAUCCACUAUUAGCCAGUGAUAAGCAACAGCUUUUUGGCAUAAAAACAAAAGUCUGAGUUCCAAAUAAAUAAAUAAAUAAAUAAAAGCAAAGCUUCAGCUGAAAUACCAAGCUGUUUUGCCUGACACCUUUGUGGGCUUUCUUUUAAUGUUUUUUUUUGUAGCUAUUAAAGGCAGUGGGUGCUCCAAUACCAAUUCAGGGGCAUCUGUUCAGGCAAACCCAAGUCCCCUUGCAUGUCUUCUGGCUGGCCAGAGGUGAUCCUGCACCAACCUGGGAGCUGUCUAGUGCUGGCAGUAGGGCCCUGUGCCCAAGCUACCAAGUUUGAAGCAUGAACAAAGGAAGGGCCUACGUAACCCUGUGUACCCAGUCACAAUAUGCAUCAGGUAGGAGAAUUUAUUUCGGGAGUUUUUAAUAACAACAGCAGUACUCAAUACUAAUAAAAAAAUACUGCCCAAAUACACAAACCAUAAUUCCACUUGUAAGGAGGACAUGUACUUUUUUAUUUCAUAAAUCUUGAAAAACUGCACACAAUCUGUCUGAAUGACAGAAAAAACAUGCACAGAGGAAGCACAGGAUACCUCAUUGCUAAAUAAAACAACUUUACCAUCUAAGUUACAGGCUCUUUUAUUUUUUUUCCUCAAAUUCUUCAGAACUAACUAACAUUACUGUAGAGUAUAGUAAAAGAUAGUCAUGUUAUGGUAAUUUAAAAUCCUUGAUAUGGGAGAAAAUAGAAACCAAAUGAUUUUAUGUAUUAGAAGUAUGGUGCUUAAGUUCCUCUUUCUGAAGCCAUCAAGCAACAAGACUUGGAAGUAUUUCAAUGAAGAGUUUGCAUA